UAGUGAUGAGGUCAUGGGCUCCAAAAUAUGGCCAUGGUAUGAAGGUGGCAGCACAAAUUUUUAAACAACAUUUCAGCACCACGCCACAUUGCUGAGAAGGAAGCCUGUGUAAUCUCCUCUUCAAAAAGCAGUCCCUCAGAGAGCUCAUCUGCUCUCAGGGAUUCAUCCAUUGCUGCUGUGCAGAUGCUUCAAAGCCUAACCACAUGAACAAUCAGUUACCAACCAUUUACUGCCUGAUGAAAGGGAACGAAAGGGAUCACAGGGUGAUUGCUCUGUAUGGGUGUCUUCAGAGCAGUAAGUUCAAAGAUAAAAAUUUCACCUUUCCAACCAACAAGAUGGGCUGAACAUUCCAAAACCUCAUUUUCUCAGUAGAGUCAAGAUUUAAACGGAGGUAACACCCACUAAAGAGCUCUAUACUGGAAAUUGACAAGGGCUAGAAAAAAAAAAAAAAAAAAAAAAAAAAACACCCUGUCUUCUUGGUGAUACACUGCAUCACUCCUGGCACCAAACAUUUUAGGAAUACUUAGUUAUCUUCCAUUGUUUUACAUUUGUGUGUCAGUGAUUUGACAGAUAUUUAUUGAACACUUACUCUGGGCCAGGUAGUAGUCUAGAUGCAGGCAGGCAGCAGUGAACAUGAAAGACCUUAGAGAGCUUUACGAAUUUAGAGAGAAAAUGCUAACAAUAAACACACAAAAAAUAAGAUACAUUCAAUUACCAAUAAGAGCUAUAUAGGAGGUAAAAAUAAACAAAUGUGUUAGAGCCACAGGGGUAGGAUGGUAGAGACUGCUCUAGUAAAGGUAAUUGGACAAUGCCUCUCUUAGGAGAUACUAUUUGAACUGACACCUGAGUAAUGAAGACAGAGGGAUGCAAAGAUUUAGGAAAAGUACGUUUCAGCCCAAAGGGAGAGCAUGAGGCUCUGAGAGGCGGGCAAGUUUAGCACAUCUGAAGAAUGAAAUAAAAGCCAGCGUGUCUGGUUAGUGGUGAAUGAAGGAAAAAGCAGGAGAUGAGGCAGCAGAACAAGGCAGAGCUCGGCUCAUGUGUGGUCCCAAGCUGGGGUUUCUCAUCUUCAGCACUAGUGACAUCUCAUUCUCUGUUGUAGGGGAAUAUUCUGUGCAGUAUAAGACAGUUCAUCAGCAUUCCUGGGCUCUACUCACUAGAUGUCAGUAGGUUCUCCCUAGUAGGGACGAACAAAAUUGUCUUCAGAAGACAUUGCCACAUGUCCCUAGGGGGUAAAAUAGCCCCUAGUUGAGAACCACCAUUGUAGGCAAAGAUAAGAAAUUUGGAUAUUAUUAGGGGUGAUAGGAAGCUAUUAGAACAUCUUAGGCAUAGAGUGAUAAGAUCUGAAUUUUAUGCUAGCUUCUGUGGAGAAAGAUAAGAGUGAAGGCAGGGAGGCAAUUAAAAGGCAACUAUAACAGCCCAAAUCAGAGAUGGUGAACUAAGGUGUAGCCAAGAGGAUUCAUCUAGGAAUUAGGUGCAGGGUGGUAUGAGGAAGAAAAGAACCAAGCAUGCUGCUUAGGCUCUCUACUGGAGCCAUGAAGUACUUGCGCCUAAUCCCUAAGCCUGAGAUGUUAAUGUCAUUUACUGAUGGGGAUAACUUGCAAGGAGAUUUGUGAGCAUAGGGAUUAGAAAUAAAAGAAUUAUCUUAGCCAUAUUAAGUUGUGAUACCUAUUAGAUACGCAAGUGGAGAUGUCCAGUAGGCAGUUAGAUGUCUCAGUAUGGCGUUCUGAGAAGUCAGGAUUGGAGAUUUAAAUUAAUGAGUCUCCUAGAGAUGGAAUUUGAAGAUGAAAGAUUAGAUAAAUUUACCUAAUAGUUUCCUGUGGCAGGAUUAAGGUGAAUAUUAGAAACCACAGUACAGGCUCUUGCCCAUGCCUUUCCCUCUCUGCUUCUGCUUCUGACUGACCCUGGUGUUUCCCUGCGUUGUUACGUGUGACCCCAUCCUUGGGAACUGUGAGUAGCAAACUAUCUUUUCAAUGGCAGUCAUCUCCUGAUCUGUUGGCCUUGCUAUAACUGAACAAAAUAACAUCCCAGAUACAUUUUAAAACAAAACUAUAUCCUUGCAAAAGAUUAUGCACAACCAUUGGUAUUUUAAUAUACUCUCCUUUUUACAGCUGUUAUAUGCUAAAACUGUUUUAUUACAAAUUAAUGAGAUGAUGGUUUUCUAAAAUUCUUUAGAAAAAUAGUAUUAUUGAGAAUGGAAUGUAACAGUUGUUUUCUAUUGUAAUUUCUUUUAACAGAAUGUCAUCUUUUUCAAACUUGGCUAAACAUACCUGAUAAUUAUUUAAAGUGAAAGCAAUUUAAAGCUACCUGGUGGCCUUAUAGCUUCAAAUGGAAUUUUUUGUAAGCUUCAUAAAGAUAGUAACUUUCAUUAUAAAUUAUUUUGAAAAUUGAGUU